rnacentral:rRNA from 1 species
UACAGAGGGUGCGAGCGUUGUCCGGAAUUACUGGGCGUAAAGCGUGCGCAGGCGGUUAUGCAAGACAGAUGUGAAAUCCCCGGGCUCAACCUGGGAACUGCAUUUGUGACUGCAUGGCUAGAGUGCGGCAGAGGGGGAUGGAAUUCCGCGUGUAGCAGUGAAAUGCGUAGAUAUGCGGAGGAACACCGAUGGCGAAGGCAAUCCCCUGGGCCUGCACUGACGCUCAUGCACGAAAGCGUGGGGAGCAAACAGG